rnacentral:rRNA from 1 species
UACGUAGGGUGCGAGCGUUGUCCGGAAUUAUUGGGCGUAAAGAGGUUGUAGGCGGUUUGUCGCGUCUGCCGUGAAAAUCCGGGGCUCAACCCCGGACUUGCGGUGGGUACGGGCAGACUAGAGUGUGGUAGGGGAGACUGGAAUUCCUGGUGUAGCGGUGAAAUGCGCAGAUAUCAGGAGGAACACCGAUGGCGAAGGCAGGUCUCUGGGCCACUACUGACGCUGAGAAGCGAAAGCGUGGGGAGCGAACAGG